rnacentral:SRP_RNA from 1 species
GCUGGAACGCGUUACGGCGUUCUGUAACCCGAGUGGGGGCAGGGUGAGCGGAAUCACGCCCAUUUGCGGCGGCCCACGUCUGCACGUCGAGGGCUCGCCCGCCCCAAGCUGGGAAUCGGCAGCGUCGCCCUCCGGAGGGGGGGUGCCGUGGUCGGUGAAGAAGGGGGAACCGCACGAGGCAGGUGACUGAGCACUGCAAACUCCUCGUUCUCAGCAGUGGGGGGAAGACGAGCCUGAUCGAUAGGAGGUGGAUCACUGGCGCGGACAGGAGCGGGGGAACCCUCACCCAU